rnacentral:rRNA from 1 species
GAUGAACGCUAGCGGCAGGCCUAACACAUGCAAGUCGAGGGGCAGCACGUGUAGCAAUACAUGGUGGCGACCGGCGCACGGGUGAGUAACGCGUAUGCAACCUACCCAUAACAAGGGGAUAGCUUUCGGAAACGGAAAUUAAUACCCUAUAGAACCUGAAUAUCGCAUGGUAUUAAGGUUAAAACUGAGGUGGUUAUGGAUGGGCAUGCGUGCCAUUAGUUAGUUGGCGGGGUAACGGCCCACCAAGACAGUGAUGGCUAGGGGGUCUAAAAGGAUGAUCCCCCACACUGGUACUGAGACACGGACCAGACUCCUACGGGAGGCAG